CCUACGUGCGGUAGCAGUGGGGAAUAUUGCACAAUGGGCGAAAGCCUGAUGCAGCAACGCCGCGUGAGCGAUGAAGGCCUUCGGGUCGUAAAGCUCUGUCCUCAAGGAAGAUAAUGACGGUACGUGAGGAGGAAGCCACGGCUAACUACGUUCCAGCCGCCGCGGUAAUACGUAGGGGGCUAGCUUUAUCCGGAAUUACUGGGCGUAAAGGGGGCGUAGGUGGUUUCUUAAGUCAGAGGUGAAAGGCUACGGCUCACCCGUAGUAAGCAGUUGAAACUGGGGAACUUGAGUGCAGGAGAGGAGAGUGGAAUUCCUAGUGUAGCGGUGAAAUGCGUAGAUAGGAGGAGGAACACCAGUUGCGAAGGCGGCUCUCUGGACUGUAACUGACACUGAGGCACGAAAGCGUGGGGAGCAAACAGGAUUAGAUACCCCAGUAGUC
rnacentral:rRNA from 1 species